rnacentral:lncRNA from 1 species
AUAAAAUCACAAUACAACAGCUGUACUAGUGUAAAAACAGACAAACAGAUCAAUGGAACAGAAUUCAAAGAGGCCAUAAAUCAUACCUUAAUGAAUUUAAAAGAACAGAAAUUAUAUUCUGUCUUCUCUCAAACCAAAACAAAAUUAAACUAGAAAUCAAUAACAAAAAAAGCUAUGCAAUCAAAAAACGUGGUGAUUGAACAAUCUUUAAAAAUACAUGGAUCAAAGAAAAAAAUCUGGAGAAAUUUUGAAAUAUUUUGAGCUACAUGAAAAUGGACACCCAAAUAUCAAAAUUUGUGGGUCACAGAAGAAACAGUACUUAGAAAAUUUAUAGCAUAAAAUGCAUGUAUUGGUAAGAUUUAAAGAUCUUAAAAUCAAUAUCUAGGUAUCCAUCUUAGGAAAUAAGGAAAAAACAAAAUAAGCAGAGGUCAAGAACUAACAAAAAUUGGAGAAUCUGAAAGGGAAAUCAAUCAAUAAAAUGGAAAAUGAAAUCAUUAGGAAAAAUUUCUAAAACCUAAAGUUGGUUCUACACACACACAAAAAAAAUCAGAAUUAAUAAGCCUAUAGCCAGGCUAAGGAAAAAAGAAGUCACAAAUUACUAUUAUCAGAAAUGUCAGAGGAAAUAUUACUACAGAUCUUGUGGACAUUAAAUAGAUAAUCAGGUAUAUGAACCACUCUAUAUCCACAAAGUUGAUAAUAAAGAUGAAUUGAACCAAUUAUUUGAAAGAUAAAACAUGCCAAAACUCACAUUAAAAGACAACCUGAAUAGGUUUUUAUUUAUUAAAGAAAUUUGGGAGCUCAUAACCCACUUGAAUCAAAUUGUGAAAUAUGAUAUAUCAAGAACUAUGUAAUGUUUUGAACAGCCAACAAUAAAAAAUUAAAAAAAAAAAGAAAUUGAAUCAAUAUCUUCCAAAAUAGAAAGCAGUAUGCUCAGAUGGAUUCACUGGUUAACUCUGCCAAAAUUUAAGAGAGAAGUUAUUUCAUAUCUCUGCAAUCUCUACCAUAGGAUGUAAUAAAAAGGAACACUUUUCCACUUAUUCCAAGAAGCCAACAUCACCCUAAUAACAAAACCAUAUAAAGACAUUAUAAGAAAAAAUUCAUACCAAUAUCUCUCAUGAAUGCAGAGACAAAAUUCUCAAGAAAAUAUUGGUAAACCAAACCCAAAAAAAUAAUUACA